AGCGUCGGUAAGACGUCGUGGAGGUCCGAACCCACUUCAGUUGAAAAUGGAGGGGAUGAGCUGUGGAUAGGGGUGAAAGGCCAAUCAAACACCGUGAUAGCUGGUUCUCCCCGAAAUGCAUUUAGGUGCAGCGUUGCGUGGUUCUUGUCGGAGGUAGAGCACUGGAUGGUCUAGGGGGCCUAUCAGCUUACCGAAAUCAGCCAAACUCCGAAUGCCGGCAAGUGGAGCGUGGCAGUGAGACGGCGGGGGAUAAGCUUCGUCGUCGAGAGGGAAACAGCCCAGAUCAUCAGCUAAGGCCCCUAAGUGGUAGCUCAGUGGAAAAGGAUGUGGAGUUGCGCAGACAGCCAGGAGGUUGGCUUGGAAGCAGCCAUCCUUGAAAGAGUGCGUAAUAGCUCACUGGUCAAGUGAUUCCGCGCCGACAAUGUAGCGGGGCUUAAGUUAUCCGCCGAAGCUGUGGCAGAUCCCCUUGUGUGGGGGUUUGGGUAGGGGAGCGUCCUGUACGAGGUGAAGCUGCCGGGUGACCGUGUGGUGGAUUGUGCGGGAGUGAGAAUGCAGGCAUGAGUAGCGAAUGACGGGUGGGAAACCCGUCCGCCGAUUAUCCAAGGGUUCCAGGGUCAAGUUAAUCUGCCCUGGGUGAGUCGGGACCUAAGGCGAGGCCGACAGGCGUAGUCGAUGGAUAACCAGUUGAUAUUCUGGUACCGGCUUGUCACCGUCCGUGUCGAGGUGUGUGAUGCUAAGCGUGCGAGCCUGCCAUUGUGAUGUCUUUGAUGUUGUGGUGGUGUGGUGAGUGUGUGAACCGAUCAUGUAGUAGGCAAGCUGCGGAGGGACGCAGGGAGGUAGCUCAUCCCCGGCGAUGGUUGUCCGGGGCUAAAUGUGUGGACCGUCUGGUAGGUAAAUCCGCCAGGGUUGUGGUUGAGGCAUGAUGGCGAGCCCACGUGUGUGGGUGAGUGAGUGAUCCUGUACUGUCGAGAAAAGCUUCGUGAGCGAGGUGGCUGGUCCGCCCGUACCCUAAACCGACACUGGUGGAUAGGUAGAGUAUACCGAGGCGAUCGAGAUCAUCAUGGUGAAGGAACUCGGCAAAAUGCCCCCGUAACUUCGGGAUAAGGGGGACCUGAACUGUUAAGGCCUGUACGGCUGGUAGCAGUGAGGGGCGCAGAGACCAGGGGGAAACGACUGUUUACCAAAAACACAGGUCCGUGCGAAGUCGUAAGACGAUGUAUACGGACUGACUCCUGCCCGGUGCUGGAAGGUUAAGGGGAACUGUUAGCGUUGGCGAAGCGGUGAACUUAAGCCCCAGUAAACGGCGGUGGUAACUAUAACCAUCCUAAGGUAGCGAAAUUCCUUGUCGGGUAAGUUCCGACCUGCACGAAUGGAGUAACGAUUUCCCUACUGUCUCCACCAUGAACUCGGUGAAAUUGCAGUACGAGUAAAGAUGCUCGUUACGCGCAGCAGGACGGAAAGACCCCGGGACCUUUACUAUAGUUUGGUAUUGGUGAUUGGGACGACUUGUGUAGGAUAGGUGGGAGACUGUGAAGUGGCCACGCUAGUGGUUGUGGAGUCAUUGUUGAAAUACCACUCUGGUCGUUCUGGUUAUCUAACUUUGGGCCGUGAUCCGGUUCAGGGACAGUGCCUGAUGGGUAGUUUGACUGGGGCGGUCGCCUCCUAAAAGGUAACGGAGGCGCCCAAAGGUUCCCUCAGAAUGGUUGGAAAUCAUUCGAAGAGUGUAAAGGCAGAAGGGAGCUUGACUGCGAGACCUACAAGUCGAGCAGGGACGAAAGUCGGGCUUAGUGAUCCGGUGGUUCCGCAUGGAAGGGCCAUCGCUCAACGGAUAAAAGCUACCCUGGGGAUAACAGGCUUAUCUCCCCCAAGAGUCCACAUCGACGGGGAGGUUUGGCACCUCGAUGUCGGCUCGUCGCAUCCUGGGGCUGUAGUCGGUCCCAAGGGUUGGGCUGUUCGCCCAUUAAAGCGGCACGCGAGCUGGGUUCAGAACGUCGUGAGACAGUUCGGUCCCUAUCCGUCGCGGGCGUUGGAAAUUUGAGAGGAGCUGUCCUUAGUACGAGAGGACCGGGAUGGACUUACCGCUGGUGUACCAGUUGUUCUGCCAAGGGCAUUGCUGGGUAGCUAUGUAGGGAAGGGAUAAACGCUGAAAGCAUCUAAGUGUGAAGCCCACCUCAAGAUGAGAUUUCCCAUUUCU
rnacentral:rRNA from 1 species